UCCGCUCGCCUCGCCCCUCUUCCCCCAGGUGCUGACGGGCCCGGGUGCUCCUGCAGGGGCGGUCCUGGCUGGACACGGACUUCGGGUGUUUCUGAGCUGGUCCAAGGGGGCCGAGGGCGCCUCGCCGCUUCCGGCGGGACGCUGUCUGCGCUCAGGGAGAAACUGGAUGAACCAGGUGGUCCGAGGUCCCGGGCGGGUCCUCCGGCUCCCACAGCCGCGCGCAGCAGGUGCAGGUCCCGGCCGGCCACGUGGAGGAUGCAAACCCGCCGCUUCGGAGCGUCCCCCGCCACCGAAGGGCAGAGUGAGCCCUGAGGCCGAGCGGACUCCAGCUGAGAAACGGUCCCGGCGGGACACCAGGUGCACACACCCCACAGGACGCCGUUCGGGAGCGAAUUUAAACCUCAGAAUGUAACGUCAAGCCUUCUGCACAAAAACGCUUUCACAUGGAAAGCACUUUCCACUGGAAUGUGUCCAAACCAGCAUCUGGCACCUGGGGAAUGCACAUGAAAUAUAAAUAAAAUUUAGAGAAUUGU